UGGGGAAUUUUGGACAAUGGGGGGAACCCUGAUCCAGCAAUGCCGCGUGUGCGAAGAAGGCCUUCGGGUUGUAAAGCACUUUUGUCAGAGAAAAAAAGGUAGUUACAAAUAAUGACUGCUAAUGAUGGUAUCUGAAGAAUAAGGACCGGCUAACUACGUGCCAGCAGCCGCGGUAAUACGUAGGGUUCGAGCGUUAAUCGGAAUUAUUGGGCGUAAAGAGUGCGUAGGCGGUUAUAUAAGAUAGAUGUGAAAUCCUUGAGCUUAACUUGAGAACUGCAUAUAUGACUGUAUAACUAGAGUGUGUCAGAGGGGGGUAGAAUUCCAUGUGUAGCAGUGAAAUGCGUAGAGAUGUGGAGGAAUACCGAUGGCGAAGGCAGCCCCCUGGGAUAACACUGACGCUGAGGCACGAAAGCGUGGGGAGCAAACAGGAUUAGAUACCCCCGUAGUCC
rnacentral:rRNA from 1 species